UAAAUUGCAUUUUGCAGCUGGCAAAUGAAGUGUAGUCAUGGUGGUUGCGAGGUAGUCAUGGUGGUUGCUAGGUAAUCAUAGUGGUUGCUGGGGCGUUGCUAGGUAGUCAGGUUGGUUGCUAGGUAGUUAUAGUGGUUGAUGGGGCGUUGCUAGGUAGUCACAGUGGUUGCUAGGCAGUCAUGGUGGUUGCUAGGUAGUCAUAGUGGUUGCUGGGGCGUUACUAGGAAGAAAUAUUGAACUUGGUUUGGCCUUGGCCCUGGAUGCACUGGCCGAUCCUAAGUUGACAGAUGUUGGGGGGGGGGGGGGCAGAGAAAGGUUGCAGAAGAGAUGGUGGCCAACGGAAAUAAAGAGGGUCAGUAAGGAGGGGGAUGAAAUAAGGUGGGUAAUAAGAAUGGAGGCCAAAAGAAAGUAAAAGGGUCAGUGGAUAUAAUGAGCGGGAAUGGGGUGGCCAGGGGGGGAUGAGAGUAAUGGUAGGGGUUAGGGUUAGGAUGGGGGUAACAGAAAAUUGUGUUGAAAUGGGGGGGGGUAUUUCGGUUAAGUUUAUGGGGCCUAGACUGGUAAAAGAUAUGUCAAACUGACUGUUGGUAAAAUCAUGAAAAUAAUACAGGGAGGGACAGAAGAAAAUGAUACCAAGUUUUUAUUGAGUGUUUGGGAGUCUGUGGAAGAAAGAUGGAUGUUAGAUUUAAUUAAGUCCAAGUGGGGAGUGGGUGAUCAGUUUGUGAAUCCAGGUUCUUUCUGUUCUCUUUCUCUGGGCAGGGGUCCAGCCAGGAUUCCUUUCCAGACCACAAAUGCCAAGGUGUGAUGUAUCAUGGACCUGAAAGUGACUGACUAGGUGCUGCCAUUGCAGAUGAAGUACAGAGAGAGGUCACGUGGUCACAGCUCAGUGUCACAUUACAGGAGUCAGCGCUGGACAAGUUUGUCACUACAGACAGGCCUAAGUGAGACGCAAACUGAGCAAGGAGCGAUCAGCUGGUGGAAUCGGGCUAUUCCACUGACUUUGG